GGUAAGAUGGCCGAGGAAGGCGGCAGGUUGUAGCCCUGCUUACAGAGGUUUAAGCCCUCUUCUUAUCA
rnacentral:tRNA from 1 species